CCUACGGGAGGCUGCAGUAAGGAAUAUUGGACAAUGGAGGGAACUCUGAUCCAGCCAUGCCGCGUGCAGGAAGAAGGCGCUCAGCGUUGUAAACUGCUUUUGACUGGGAACAAAACCCUGGACGUGUCCGGGACUGAGGGUACCAGUAGAAUAAGCACCGGCUAACUCCGUGCCAGCAGCCGCGGUAAUACGGAGGGUGCAAGCGUUAUCCGGAAUCACUGGGUUUAAAGGGUGCGUAGGCGGUGGCGUAAGUCAGUUGUGAAAUUCCCCGGCUU
rnacentral:rRNA from 1 species